ACCCGCUGAACUUAAGCAUAUCAAUAAGCGGAGGAAAAGAAACCAACAGGGAUUGCCUCAGUAACGGCGAGUGAAGCGGCAACAGCUCAAAUUUGAAAUCUGGCCUCACGGUCCGAGUUGUAAUUUGUAGAGGAUGUUUCGAACGUGGUCCGGUCUAAGUUCCUUGGAACAGGACGUCAUAGAGGGUGAGAAUCCCGUAUGCGAUCGGGUGCCUAUGUUCAUGUGAAACUCCUUCGACGAGUCGAGUUGUUUGGGAAUGCAGCUCAAAAUGGGUGGUAAAUUUCAUCUAAAGCUAAAUACUGGCCAGAGACCGAUAGCGCACAAGUAGAGUGAUCGAAAGAUGAAAAGCACUUUGGAAAGAGAGUUAAACAGUACGUGAAAUUGUUGAAAGGGAAGCGCUUGCAACCAGACUUGCAUGCAGUCGAUCAUCCGGUGUUCUCACCGGUGCACUCGGCUGCGUUCAGGCCAGCAUCGGUUCUGGUGGUUGGAUAAAGGCCUUGGGAAUGUAGCUCCUCUCGGGGAGUGUUAUAGCCCUCGGUGCAAUGCAGCCUACCGGGACCGAGGACCGCGCUUCGGCUAGGAUGCUGGCGUAAUGGUUGUAAGCGACCCGUCUUGAAACACGGACCAAGGAGUCUAACAUCUAUGCGAGUGUUUGGGUGUCAAACCCAUACGCGUAAUGAAAGUGAACGGAGGUGAGAACCCUUAAGGGUGCAUCAUCGACCGAUCCUGAUGUCUUCGGAUGGAUUUGAGUAAGAGCAUAGCUGUUGGGACCCGAAAGAUGGUGAACUAUGCCUGAAUAGGGUGAAGCCAGAGGAAACUCUGGUGGAGGCUCGCAGCGGUUCUGACGUGCAAAUCGAUCGUCAAAUUUGGGUAUAGGGGCGAAAGACUAAUCGAACCAUCUAGUAGCUGGUUCCUGCCGAAGUUUCC
rnacentral:rRNA from 2 species